AUACGGAGGAUGCGAGCGUUAUCCGGAUUUAUUGGGUUUAAAGGGAGCGUAGAUGGGAGCUUAAGCCAGUUGUAAAAAGCGCGGGCCCAACCCGCGUCGUGCAAUUGGAACUGUGUUCCUUGAGUGGGUUCGGGGCAGGUGGAAUUCGUGGGGUAGCGGUGCAAUGCUUAGAUAUCACGAAGAACUCCGACAGCGUAGGCAUCCUGCCAGGCCCUUACUGACAUUGAAGCUCGAAGGUGCGGGUAUCAAACAGGAUUAGAUACCCUGGUAGUCCGCACGGUAAACGAUGGAUGCCCGCUGUCGGCGACAGACAGUCGGCGGCCAAGCGAAAGCGUUAAGCAUCCCACCUGGGGAGUACGCCGGCAACGGUGAAACUCAAAUGAAUUGACGGGG
rnacentral:rRNA from 1 species